rnacentral:lncRNA from 1 species
AAUGAACCAAGAGAAAGACAGAUAAAUUUAAUGGCUCGCGAUCUAAUACUGGCAUGAGAAUAGAAUAUUUUGCAACAAAGACAUGAAAUAGUUUACACAAAGUCUGAUUGGGAUUGUUAUACAAAAACAGUAUUUCAACUGUUUCAACCUAAUUGCAUAUAUAUCCCAUCCCUUUUCUUGUAGACAUUGUCAUUCCCAU